rnacentral:rRNA from 1 species
AGGGUUCGAUUCUGGCUCAGGAUGAACGCUGGCGGCGUGCCUAACACAUGCAAGUCGAACGAAGCAUACGGACUGGAGAUUCGUCGAAGGACCGUAUGACUUAGUGGCGGACGGGUGAGUAAUGUAUGAGCAACCUGCCUUUCAGAGGGGGACAACAGUUGGAAACGACUGCUAAUACCGCGUAACGUAUCGAGGGGGCAUCCUCGUGAUACCAAAGGAGCAAUCCGCUGAAAGAUGGGCUCAUAUCUGAUUAGCUUGUUGGCGGGGUAACGGCCCACCAAGGCGACGAUCAGUAGCCGGACUGAGAGGUUGAACGGCCACAUUGGGACUGAGAUACGGCCCAGACUCCUACGGGAGGCAGCAGUGGGGAAUAUUGGGCAAUGGGCGAAAGCCUCGACCCAGCAACGCCGCGUGAAGGAAGAAGGUCUUCGGAUUGUAAACUUCUUUUAUGAGGGACGAAGGACGUGACGGUACCUCAUGAAUAAGCCACGGCUAACUACGUGCCAGCCGCCGC